UUCCCUCGUAACUGGUCAACUCCUCUUCCCCUGCCCCAGGGAGUGGAGACUGCCGCCGUUUCUUCCUGCGCCUGCUGCACACAGGGGGGUGUCGCUCCAGGACCUUGCUUCAGACAGGCCCAGGGGUCGCAGUGGUUGCAAGGAUGCUAGCCUGGAGACCACAUUCCAUUGCUGCCUUCUCCACAUCCUGCCCACACCUUUGUGACUCAGCUUGAGCAUCAUUUAUUUUUACCCUGGAUCCUGACCAAAACAGAACCCCAAAAACAAACCUCAAACCAAAGCAAUAAAGUAUUCAGGUAACUUUGCUAUA